UACACCUCUAUUCCAUUUCAGCGAACCAAACGUGCCCCAAAUGUUUUUCCUUUUCUCCUUUGCUUUUCCUUUCCUUCUCUUGUUAUAUCUUCUCUACCAUUCUUUUUUUUUCCCUUCUCAUUUUCUUCCCUAUUCUGCUACUCUUCUCUCCUUUUUUUUCCCGUUCUCUUCUUCUUCUUCUUAUCUAUUUUGUUUUUUCUUUCACAUUGGGGGACCAUUAUAAGGUCCCCAAAAACCCAUUUUCACGAGACCCUUAAGGGUCUCGUCCUAUCUCAUAGACGCAGUAGAGCAGGGGGCUCAUUAUAAGGUCCCCAAAAACCCAUUUUCACGAGACCCUUAAGGGUCUCGUCCUAUCUCACAGACGUAGUAGAGCAGGAGGCUCAUUCCAUCCCAUCACAGCAGAUCUGUGCUGCCUAUCAGGUAGGCACAAUCACUACAGGUGCCACCUGUCAGGUAGGCUUGACCAGCUUUCUCAGGUUGUGUGGUGUGUAUGAGUUAUACAUGU
rnacentral:lncRNA from 1 species